AGAUUGAACGCUGGCGGCAUGCCUAACACAUGCAAGUCGAACGGGAGUAGCAAUACUCUAGUGGCGGACGGGUGAGGAAUACGUAGGAAUUUGCCCUUAAGUGGGGGAUAACCCGGGGAAACCCGGAUUAAUACCGCAUGACCUCGAAAGAGCAAAGUGGGGGAUCGCAAGACCUCACGCUUUUGGAGAAGCCUACGUCGGAUUAACUAGUUGGUGAGGUAAUGGCUCACCAAGGCGACGAUCCGUAACUGGUCUGAGAGGAUGAUCAGUCACACCGGAACUGAGACACGGUCCGGACUCCUACGGGAGGCAGCAGUGGGGAAUAUUGGACAAUGGGCGCAAGCCUGAUCCAGCAAUGCCGCGUGUGUGAAGAAGGCCUCGGUUGUAAG
rnacentral:rRNA from 1 species